rnacentral:rRNA from 1 species
UGGGGAAUAUUGGACAAUGGGGGCAACCCUGAUCCAGCAAUGCCGCGUGUGUGAAGAAGGCCUUAGGGUUGUAAAGCACUUUCACCCGCGAAGAUGAUGACGGUAGCGGGAGAAGAAGCCCCGGCUAACUCCGUGCCAGCAGCCGCGGUAAUACGGAGGGGGCUAGCGUUGUUCGGAAUUACUGGGCGUAAAGGGCGUGUAGGCGGCUUUGUCAGUCAGGCGUGAAAGCCCCGGGCUUAACCUGGGAUGUGCGUUUGAUACUGCGGAGCUAGAGAUCGGGAGAGGAGAGUGGAAUUCCCAGUGUAGAGGUGAAAUUCGUAGAUAUUGGAAAGAACACCAGUGGCGAAGGCGGCUCACUGGCUCGGUACUGACGCUGAGGAGCGACAGCGUGGGGAGCAAACAGGAUUAGAUACCCUGGUAGUCCACGCCGUAAACUAUGGGUGCUAGUUGUCGGGCAGCUUGCUGUUCGGUGACGCAGCUAACGCAUUAAGCACCCCGCCUGGGGAGUACGGUCGCAAGAUUA